rnacentral:tRNA from 1 species
UGGCCUAGUUGGUAGAGCAUGGUGUUUGCAACGCCAGGGUUGUGGGUUUGAUUCCCAC